UACGAAGGGGGCUAGCGUUGUUCGGAAUUACUGGGCGUAAAGCGUGCGUAGACGGUUACAUAAGUCGGGUGUGAAAGCCCCGGGCUCAACCUGGGAAUUGCAUUCGAGACUGCGUAGCUAGGGUGCGGAAGAGGGAAGCGGAAUUUCCGGUGUAGCGGUGAAAUGCGUAGAUAUCGGAAGGAACACCAGUGGCGAAAGCGGCUUCCUGGUCCAGCAC
rnacentral:rRNA from 1 species